GUGCUGUGGUACGGCGUCCAGAUCUGCUCCAGAUAGGUCGCGCGCUCGGCUUUCGAAGGUUCCAGCCCUUCGCGGAACA
rnacentral:tRNA from 1 species